GGCAAGAGCUCAACUUUGGAAUCGCUCCGGCGAGUUGUAGUCUGGAGGUGGCCACCACGAGGUGUUCUAGCAGCAGGCAAGUCCUUUGGAACAAGGCGCCAGCGAGGGUGACAGCCCCGUACCUGCUUUUGCUAGUGCUUCCUGUGGCCCACCGACGAGUCGAGUUGUUUGGGAAUGCAGCUCUAAGUGGGUGGUAAAUUCCAUCUAAGGCUAAAUAUUGGCGAGAGACCGAUAGCGAACAAGUACAGUGAUGGAAAGAUGAAAAGCACUUUGAAAAGAGAGUGAAACAGUACGUGAAAUUGUUGAAAGGGAAGGGCUUGCACCCAGACACGGUUUCGGCCGGGCCAGCAUCAAGUAGAACGGGGUUAAAAGACUUGGGGAAUGUAGCUACUUCGGUAGUGUUAUAGCCCUUGGUGAUGACCCCUGUUUUGC
rnacentral:rRNA from 1 species